rnacentral:ncRNA from 1 species
AUACAGGUGAAGAUAGAAAAAAGUAAUAAAUAGUAUCAUAAAGAGAAGCAGUGGUUGGUGUAAACUGUUUGAUAUAAUUUAUGAAAUACAUUCUUGAACCGCAGGCUGAAAUUUCUAAUAACUAGUAGGCUGAGCCGUUUAACUUGCGUUAAGAGUAAGAGAUAAACAAUAAUUUGUUUCUGAAAUAGGGUGGUACCACGAUUAAGCUUCGUCCCUUAA